UGGGGAAUAUUGGACAAUGGGCGCAAGCCUGAUCCAGCCAUGCCGCGUGAGGGAUGAAGGCCCUAGGGUUGUAAAGCUCUUUCACCGGUGAAGAUAAUGACGGUAACCGGAGAAGAAGCCCCGGCUAACUUCGUGCCAGCAGCCGCGGUAAUACGAAGGGGGCUAGCGUUGUUCGGAUUUACUGGGCGUAAAGCGCACGUAGGCGGACUUUUAAGUCAGGGGUGAAAUCCCGGGGCUCAACCCCGGAACUGCCUUUGAUACUGGAAGUCUUGAGUAUGGUAGAGGUGAGUGGAAUUCCGGGUGUAGAGGUGAAAUUCGUAGAUAUUCGGAGGAACACCAGUGGCGAAGGCGGCUCACUGGACCAUUACUGACGCUGAGGUGCGAAAGCGUGGGGAGCAAACAGG
rnacentral:rRNA from 1 species